rnacentral:rRNA from 1 species
AGGUGCGAUCAUACCAGCACUAAUGCACCGGAUCCCAUCAGAACUCCGCAGUUAAGCGUGCUUGGGCGAGAGUAGUACUAGGAUGGGU